UACGGAGGGUGCAAGCGUUAUCCGGAUUCACUGGGUUUAAAGGGUGCGUAGGUGGGUUGAUAAGUCAGUGGUGAAAUCCCCGAGCUUAACUUGGGAACUGCCAUUGAUACUAUUGAUCUUGAAUAUCGUGGAGGUCAGCGGAAUAUGUCAUGUAGCGGUGAAAUGCUUAGAUAUGACAUAGAACACCAAUUGCGAAGGCAGCUGGCUACGCGAAUAUUGACACUGAUGCACGAAAGCGUGGGGAUCAAACAGG
rnacentral:rRNA from 1 species